rnacentral:ribozyme from 14 species
GAUUUUUGGGGUUUGCUUUUCUUUUUUCUUUUUCUUUUUCUUUUUAUCUCUAUAAUAAAGCAAAAAAGUAGGAAGAAAAAUAGAAGCAGCAUAGUAAAAGAGCAUUUGAAAGAAGCAAUGAACCUGCAUUCAUAACUAGACUCCAAAAUUCUU